UACGGAGGGGACUAGCGUUGUUCGGAAUUACUGGGCGUAAGGCGCACGUAGGCGGAUUUGUAAGUCAGGGGUGAAAUCCCGGGGCUCAACCUCGGAACUGCCUUUGAUACUGCAAAUCUCGAGUCCGGAAGAGGUGAGUGGAAUUCCUAGUGUAGAGGUGAAAUUCGUAGAUAUUAGGAGGAACACCGGUGGCGAAGGCGGCCCACUGGAUCGGUACUGACGCUGAGGUGCGAAAGCGUGGGGAGCAAACAGG
rnacentral:rRNA from 1 species